CCUGCCUUGUGUCAACAGUACAGGCUGAUGGAGGUGGUGUGGGGAAUGUUUUCCUGGCAUACCUUAGGUCCCUUGCAACGAAUUGAGCCACGUUUACAUACCCCAAAGAAUUUCAGGCUGUUCUCGAGGCAAAGGGGUGUCCAACCCGGUACUAGAUACUAGGUGUACCUAAUAAACUGGCCACCGAGUGUAUGUACAUGUUUAUGUGGUCUAAAAGUCACAUCGGAUUAGCUAACUACUUCACACUUCUGGCACAGAAUAGCCAUGGUCUUAUUUGACGACAAAGCUCUAGCUAGAAAAUAUCUUUGAACAAUAUAUUGCUUAUUUUUCAGUGCUUCAACAACUUCUACAUAUUUGCGGAAAUGUAGCCACGCAAAACAUGAGGCAGUUGGGAUGUUUGUGAAGGAUCAGAUCGACAAAUUGUGACACUGCUUCGGAGUACAGUCCUUUGUGAUUUUGACGCAUGCCUCGGAGCUCCAGUAUCAAACGUAACAUCACUACUUGUCACUGCUAUAGGAGACUCUACAUAAGGAAUCUACGUAAGAAGACUCCCUGAAGUGUCACCAAAGGCGACCGAGCUGCUACAACUUUGAGGAGUCGCCACGCAACACAGGAUGCAGUUAGCAAACCUUUGCGCGAGGAAGGACCUGAGCUUUCCUUAUUAUUAUUGUCCGUCUUUGUGGCUCACGGGAACUGUGAACCGACAGAGUACUCAGAAAUGUUGUUGAAAGAGAGGGGCCUACAACCAAACAUAGAAAUCAUAUGAAAUAAGGGAAGUUUGUGUGGGCAACGAGUCGGAUGCAAAGGAUUUACUUCAGACACCCGACAAGGCCCAAAUCCGUCAUUCGCAUGAGAAAGAGACAGAGAUAUCGGGGAUGUAGGUCGGGGUGCCCUGUAAGGAUCCGACGGCAAGUGGGUAAUCUGCAUCUACCAUCAGUCAAAAUAGCCAAUUAUUUUUUACUUAACACUUAUUUUUCUUAACUGCAUUUUUGGUUAAGGGCUUAUAAGUAAGCAUUUCUCUAAGGGCUACACCUGUUGUAUUCAGAGCA